rnacentral:rRNA from 1 species
UGAUACAUCGGAUUACUGGGCGUAAGCGCACGCAGUAAGGUCUGUCAAGUCGGAUGUGAAAUCCCCGGGCUCAACCUGGGAACUGCAUUCGAAACUGGCAGGCUAGAGUCUUGUAGAGGGGGGUAGAAUUCCAGGUGUAGCGGUGAAAUGCGUAGAGAUCUGGAGGAAUACCGGUGGCGAAGGCGGCCCCCUGGACAAAGACUGACGCUCAGGUGCGAAAGCGUGGGGAGCAAACAGGAUUAGAUACCCUGGUAGUCCACGCCGUAAACGAUGUCGACUUGGAGGUUGUGCCCUUGAGGCGUGGCUUCCGGAGCUAACGCGUUAAGUCGACCGCCUGGGGAGUACGGCCGCAAGGUUAAAACUCAAAUGAAUUGACGGGGGCCCGCACAAGCGGUGGAGCAUGUGGUUUAAUUCGAUGCAACGCGAAGAACCUUACCUACUCUUGACAUCCAGAGAACUUUGCAGAGAUGCUUUGGUGCC